AAAUAAAUGGACAAUUUUUAUGAUGUAGGCGGAAAAUGAGCUUCCCCUUUUUGAAAGACCAGCAGCCGCCACUGGUCAACGGUAAUUUUAUGUUU